GGGUCGUUAGCUCAAUUGGUUAGUAGCACUUGCCUUUUAAGCAAUAGGUUGAAGGUUCGAGUCCUUCACGACCCACCA
rnacentral:tRNA from 2 species